GAGGUGCCCCGAGGAACAACUUGACCUAGAACUGCCCAGCUUGUAGUGUUUUGAGCUGAACUUUUGUUUACCAGAGACCUGAUUUAUGGUAUUUUGAUAUAGCAGCUGCAAAAAAUUAUAUAAAUUCACACAAUAGAGAGCUCAUCAGUUUCACCAUCUCAUUGUAUUACGCAUCUCUCUUUUUGCAAUGCUGAGGAUAGAACUCAAGGCUCUGUGUGUACUAGACAGCGCUCAUCACUGAGCCCCAUCCCCAACAUCUACUUUUUUUUUUUUUUUUUUUUGGUUUUUCGAGACAGGGUUGCAAUGUAUUCCAGCCUGGCCUGGAACUCCCUAUCCCUGAUGACUGCAAACUUCCAGUCUCCCUGCCUCUCAAGCCCAAGUGCUGAGGUUUCAGGUGCACGCUCUUAGCUGAUGGGACCUUGGGAAAGAGUGAUGGACUGGCACUAUGGAGUUACAUUCCCCCAUCCUACUAUUGCUAUUAUUUUAACUGAAAUAAAGCAUGAGUACAAGAUGGUUUAAAUCAUAAAACAUUAUGAAAUGUAAAAGAUCUCUGUUAUAAUUUUAUUUACUUGAUUAUUUAUGGUCCUGGACGUGGAAGCAUUUGCUCUCUCAUGGAAUGACUGCCCAAGUACUAAAGUUACAAUGUCAAAGUAAGUCUUGGAGGGGAAUAAGAGUUUAUACCAGUUUUGUUUUUCUUCUCCUCCCUCUCCUCUCAGAUACAGGGUCUCUCUGAAUAGCCUUGUCUGUCCUGGAAUUCACUAAGUAGACCAGGCUGGCCUUGAACUCCCAGAGAUCCACCUGCUUCUGCCUCUCCAGUACUGGGAUGAAAGGCCUGCACCACUGCCUAGCCUUUUUUUUUUUUAAUUUUUUAUUAGGUAUUUUCCUCGUUUACAUUUCC
rnacentral:lncRNA from 1 species